GCCAAUUUAUUGAUGUCUAAGGAAGGUAAUGGGGGGACCCCCAUCGAUCUCCACUUACCUAGCCAACUUGAAAGAUUGAGUCUUGAAUUAGGUUGCUUAGCGAUUUGAUUUAGCCCAUGCCAGUUAGAUCGGUCAUAUGAUGACUGAUUAGAUGAGACCUAAACUUAAAAUUCUCCAUAAAUAUUAAGUCCAUAGGUCUUCC
rnacentral:lncRNA from 1 species